AAAGAAUAUGCUUUCAUUGAAUGAACUUCAUUAACUCUUCUGUAUAAGGACAUAGAUAUACGUUAAUAGAUACCGAUCUUAACCAUAGUUUUUUAUUUUAUUUUUUACGGACUAACCUCGCCUCAUAACGAUGCCGUGACCUGUAUUUGCUCGGAGCUGUCUGCAAGUCCAGAUUUACAUGACGCUGAUAAUGACGCUAUUGUGUCUGUCUGUAAGACAUGACGAGACAGCACGCAGGAGCUUCAGGUAGAAACAACCAGAUGUGGCAUCGCGGGCAGAAGCUGUGAAGAGUCCAGCUCGGAGUCGGUCGAGAAGAAAAGAGUCUGCUGGAAGCGAGACAGUGCUGGCUGCGGGUGAGGUGGACAUUUGGAAGUGCGCCACCAUAGACAUACAGGACAACGCACCACAGACAUCUGCAAAAUGGACCGAAUUCAGACCGAAUGCUGCUGGUUACCAACAGCUCAGAGCCGGCCAUGGGUUAGGGGUGGACGGUGCUGCUUCUCGUGAGCGUGGGAUAUUUGUUGUGUGUGCUGUAUGUCUCCGAUGCUUUAGACAUAGUGUUUUUUUCUGAUUGCGUUUGUGUUUUGUGUCAAUAAAGCUCUAUCUUUGAAUAAA